CCUAAAUCAUUGGAACAAGACUUAAUACCCAUGACUAUUGGUCGGGCACAAAUUCGGGCUGGCUUUGAGUUCAAUCCAAGGUCAAUUAUGGCUAAAAGACAAGCCUCUUGAUUUGUAGAUCUCCCUAAGCCACUUCCAGCUCUAGGUGAUCAUGGCAAAUCAGCUCGUCACAUUGCCAUUUUGGGUGUCUCCAAAUCUUGGUACUGUAACC
rnacentral:lncRNA from 1 species